CGAUGCUGCAGUUGGGAGUCUGGGGGCAGCCUGCUGGCAUAAUUCUUUCACUGUCAGAUGUGGUGGUACAUGCCUGUAAUUCCAGAACUCAGGAGGCUGAAGCAGGAAGAUUGAGAUCUAAGCCCAGCCUUGGCUAUAUAACAAGUUUGAGGAUAGCCUGGACUAUAUAACAAGUCUCUCUUUUAAGUCUCUCAAAUGGUUGAACAAAGCCCACUACAUUAAAGAGGGUAAUCUGCUUUACUCAAAGCCCACUGAUUUGAAUGUUAGUCUCAUCUAAAAGAUACCUUCAGGACUGGGGAUGUAGCUCAGCUGUAGAGCACUUGUCUAGCAUGCACCAGGCCCUAGGUUUGACCCCCAGCAUUGAAAAAAAAAACUCACAGAAACAUCUAGAAUAAUGUUUGACCAAACAUUUUUCCCUCAAAGUCAGCAUUAAGGCCAGGUUAAGGGAUAAUGUUAGUGUUAGGGUUGUGAUUAGAUUUAGGAUCCAGGUAAAGAUUGGGAUGAGGCAAAAAGUUAAUUUCAUUAUUAGUAGGCAUGGUGGAACACAUCUAUAAUUCCAGGUACUCUGGAAGCUGAGACAGGGGGAUCUCAAGUUUGAGCCCAGCCUGGGCAAUUUAGAAAGACUCUGUCUCAAAAUAAAAAAUAAAAAUGGCUGGGGAUGUAGCUCAGUGGUAGGGGCCCUGGGUUCAAUCCUCAGUAUAGAAAAAAAAAGUUAAAAAUGUUAUGAUUAGGGUUAGUUUAUGGUCAGAGUUAGAGUGAGUGUCAAUUUUUAGGCUGUGUCAGAAUGGGUCAAGCUUAAGCCGGGCAUGGUGGCGCAUGCUUGUAAUCGAAGCACUUGGGAGGCUAAGGAAGAGGAUGCUGUAAAUUUAAGGCCAGGUUGGGCUACAUAGAGAGACCCUCUCUCAAAAAAAAAAAAAAAGAAUGACUCAAGCUUAUUGUCAGAGUCAAGAUUAGGGUUAUGUUUAGUGUCAGUGCCAGGGUCAAUAUUAGAGGUAGAUGUAGAGUUAGGUCAGGUUUUGGGUCAAUGACAGCAUUCUGGUUAGGUUUAGGUGAGGGUCAGAUUCAUUGUUAGGGUAAAGAUCAAAUUUAGGGUUAGCUUAGAGUCAGGAUCAUGAUUAGUGUGAUGGUCGGGUUCAUGGUCAGGGUCAGUGUUAAGGUCCAGUUUAAACUGAGGUCAGUAUUCAAUUGUUUGAUUUCUGGGUCAUGGUCAGGAUUAGGUAUGGGUUAGAAACAAGUCUGGAAAUUUCCCUACGGGACAUUGGCUAGCUAGCUGGCUACAGUUGGGAUUGAAGAAGCAUGUCCUAGGGACUCAGAUCAUCCCAGUUCCACAGAAAACUUCUUUUAAAAGUUUUCUGAACUCCUUGCAUUGGCCCUCAUAUACUUCAUAGAGGCAACCCUAACAAACAGCUGCAACUCUCACAAAUAGCUGCUGCAACCUCUACACAGGUCCCUAGACCUUCUGGUGUUGGUCUUAACCCUCCCUCAUUGUCCUAGGUUAAGAAUGGGGGUUUAGAGCCUGGAACAUACCUGUAAUUCCAGUACUGAGGGAGGCUGAGGCAGGAGGAUCUCAAAUUCAAGUCCUACCAGAGCAAUUUAGGUGGUUAGACAGCUUUAGUGAUUGCUUGUGAAAAUUGAGACUUAGUUUCUGCCAAAAAAUGAGACUUUGUCUUUCUUUCUUUUCUUUUCUUUUUUUUUCGGUACCAGGGAUCAAACUCCGGACCUUGCUCUUGCAAGGCAGGUGCAGCACCACUGAGCUAAAUCCCCAGCUUGAGAUUUGUCUCAUGACUAAGAAGUAGAGGCUAGACUUUGGGGCUGAAAUCAGAAAUUAGCAUCUGGAGGGGGUAUGGACAUUAGACCCCUAUAGGAGGAAUUGGGGAAUCUAGUACCUGUGGCAAAAAUUUGGAAUUUAUCUUCUGGAGGCAGAGAUCCCAACUCACUUCCUGGAAGGAGCAGUGAGGACCCAGGCUCUGGAAGAAGAGACUAGAACUUAGUCUUUGAAGCAAAAAUGUGGCUCUUACGUUCUGGACCUAAUAGUGUAGAGUUAGCUUCUGUUGGUGGAACUGGGGAAGCAAGUUGGAAGUUGAUAUUGGGCAGAGGAAAGGCAGGACUUAGCAGUCUAGUAACAAGAGUCUGGUAUUAGUGCCUGGCCUGAGGACCUUGGACUCAAUGUCUGAUGCAUGAGGGUCAAUGUCCAGACUAUAGAGUCUGAGAUUUUACCCUACUUGUAAGCUAAAGAACUUUCCUGUUUCAUGAAUGCAUGUGGAAGAUAUGAGACUACUUGGUCAGAGAUAAAGGACUUCACUAUUCAUAGGGAAAAUAAUAACCAGAGCAUCAGCAUGAUGUUUGUGCUAGUUUUACAUGCUCCCAGAUC
ensembl:lncRNA